GUCAAUCACAAGUGCUGCUGUGAAGAGAACAAUUGUCAGACUGAAUGUUGAACAUCAGCUAGUUUCUCCUGUUGAUUUAAACCUUGUUGUAGAGAUGGAACAUUGGCUGUGGAUUAUUCUUGCUGCUCUUUUCUUUGAGUGUAAAGGAGAAGACAGUGUUACCCAGACAAGAAGAGAUGUCAUCGCUACUGAAGGACGCACACUCACACUGGACUGUACAUUUGAGACCAGUGACCCAAGUCCCACUUUGUUCUGGUACAAACAGGAAGUUCAUGAUUCCCCAAAGUGUAUCCUGCAACGCUACUCUGGAGCAAAGGAUGCUGGAGACGUUCAGAAAGACAGAAUUGAUGCUACAGUCGACAAGAAAUCAGUUCCUCUGAGGAUCCAGAAGCUUCAGCUGUCAGACUCUGCUGUGUACUACUGUGCUCUGCAGCCCACAGUGACAGGAAACACCACAACUCUGUACAAAAACCUUUGGAGCAAAGACAACACAAUACUCCACAACGUCCACUAGAGGGAGUCACACUCUGUUCCACUUCAACAGGAGCUGAUGAUCCAGUCUAGGGUUGAAGUAACAUCCAUUUGCUGGAUUACAGACAUACCCAUAUGCCUCUUCUAUUCACUAAAACAAUAGCCCUUACCAGCUAAACUUUUUAAAGAUCUCUGGUCAUUGCUGGGACCAACAACGCACCUCUUGGCCAAAUAAUACGUAGUCAUGGAAUUAGUUUCCACUGUUACGCUGAUGAUACUCAGCUG